AUCGCUUCUCGGCCUUUUGGCUAAGAUCAAGUGUAGUAUCUGUUCUUAUCAGUUUAACAUGGGUGGCAAAGACGUGUAGCCGCACCCUGAGUAGGGAAAGUCCUCGCACUUUCUCCACGUCCUUACUUCUGACUCCAGUGUAUGAGGUCCCCCCACCUGAGCAAUCCUCCACUGCUUGGUGGACCCCUA